rnacentral:rRNA from 1 species
UAGGGAAUCUUCCGCAAUGGACGCAAGUCUGACGGAGCAACGCCGCGUGAGUGAAGAAGGAUUUCGGUUCGUAAAACUCUGUUGUUAGAGAAGAACAGCGCAUAGAGUAACUGUUAUGCGUGUGACGGUAUCUAACCAGAAAGCCACGGCUAACUACGUGCCAGCAGCCGCGGUAAUACGUAGGUGGCAAGCGUUGUCCGGAUUUAUUGGGCGUAAAGCGAGCGCAGGCGGUCAAUUAAGUCUGAUGUGAAAGCCCCCGGCUCAACCGGGGAGGGUCAUUGGAAACUGGUUGACUUGAGUGCAGAAGAGGAAAGUGGAAUUCCAUGUGUAGCGGUGAAAUGCGCAGAGAUAUGGAGGAACACCAGUGGCGAAGGCGACUUUCUGGUCUGUAACUGACGCUGAGGUUCGAAAGCGUGGGUAGCAAACAGG